UUGCUUUGAAUUAAUGGUUGGGUAAUAACACAAGGUCUUGUACUCAUGAGACAAAACUCUUAAAACUUUUAAAAUUUCUACAAGACCCUGUGUUCUUACCCAACCAUUAAUUCAAAGCAAUUAGAGCUGUCAAAUUGCUACAAUGCGUUAUAGCUAAUUUGAAUUUGAAAGGGUUCACUUUUUUUAUACAUACUGUAUAGCGACGAACAAAAAUCAGCGUUCAACAACAUUCAUACAACAAUUGCCGUAUUUCGUGACAAAAAUUCUAUUAAUACAGUAAACGAGUUUUAAUUAAAAGAAC